rnacentral:rRNA from 1 species
AGAGUUUGAUCCUGGCUCAGGAUGAACGCUAGCGGUGUGCUUAAUGCAUGCAAGUCGAACGGGAUUCUUUGGAUUUGUCUGAAGAUGAGAGUGGCGGACGGGUGAGUAUCGCGUUGGUGACCUGCCCCAGAGAGGGGGACAACCAGUGGAAACGCUGGCUAAUACCCCGGAUGUCAAGGCCUUUAGAAAACCUUGACUGAAGCUCCGGCGCUCUGGGAGGGGCCUGCGUCCCAUCAGCUUGUUGGUAAGGUAAUGGCUUACCAAGGCUAAGAUGGGUAGGGGACGUGAGAGCGUGACCCCCCACACUGGUACUGAAAUACGGACCAGAUACCUACGGGUAGCAGCAGCAAGGAAUAUUGCCCAAUGGACGAAAGUCUGAGGCAGCAACACCGCGUGGAGGAUGAAAGCCUUCGGGUUGUAAACUCCUUUUCUGGGGGAAGAGAAUGGAUGGUACCCCAGGAAUAAGGCCCGGUUAACUACGUGCCAGUAGUUGUGGUAAAACGUAGGGGCCAAGCGUUAUCCGGAUUUACUGGGCGUAAAGAGCAUGUAGGCGGUUAUCUAAGUCGGACGUGAAAGCUCCUGGUUUAACUGGGAGAUGCCGUUCGAAACUAGAUAACUCGAGGAUGGUAGAGGAGAGUGGAAUUCCCGGUGUAGUGGUGAAAUGUGCAGAUAUCGGGAGGAACACCAGUGGUGAAGGUGGCUCUCUGGGCCACUCCUGACGCUGAGAUGCGAAAGCUAGGGGAGAGAAUGGGAUUAGAAAUUUUGGUAUUCCUAGCCGUAAAUGAUGUCAACUAGGUGUAGGAGGUAUUGACUCCUUCUGUACUGUAGCAAAUGUGAUAAGUUGACCGCCUGGGGACUACGGCCGCAAGGCUAAAACUCAAAGGAAUUGACGGGGACCCGCACAAGCAGCGGAGCGUGUGGUUUAAUUUGAGUUUAUGUGAAGAACCUUACCAGGGUUUGAUAUGAUGGUGGUAGGAAUCCGAAAGGUGCCCGACCCUUUGGGGAGCCAUCACAGGUGCUGCAUGGCUGUCGUCAGCUCGUGCCGUGAGGUGUUAGGUUAAGUUUUGUAACGAGCGCAAUCCACGUCGUUAGUUAUAUGUGUUUAACGAGACUGCCGGUGAUAAACCGGAGGAAGGUGUGGAUGACGUUAAGUCAGUAUGGCCUUUAUAUCCUGGGCUACACACACGCUACAAUGGCCAGUAUAAUAGGUUGCGAAACCGUGAGGUGGAGCCAAUUUUUUAAAGCUGGUCUUAGUUCGGAUUGUAGGCUGUAAUUUGCCUGCAUGAAGUCGGAGUUGCUAGUAAACGUGCGUCAGCACAGUGUGUUGAAUACGUUCCCGGGUCUUGUAUAUAUCGCCCGUCACGUCAUGGAAGUUGGCAACGCCUGAAGUCGGUGGGCUAACCUUAUGGAGGUAGCCGCCCAAGGCGGGGUCGGUAACUGGGAUGAAGUUGAAAUAAGGUA